rnacentral:rRNA from 1 species
UACCGUCAAUUCCUGCCGGAUAUUAACCGACAAGCUUUCUUCCCACCUGACAGGAGUUUACAACCCGAAGGCCGUCAUCCUCCACGCGGCGUCGCUGGGUCAGGGGUUUCCCCCCAUUGCCCAAAAUUCCCCA